rnacentral:rRNA from 1 species
UCUUGGGUUCCAUUUAGAGGAAGUAAAAGUCGUAACAAGGUUUGCCAGUGUAGGUGACACCCUCCCUCUGCCGGGGGGGCGUGGGCACCUUUGCACCUAUGGAAGCCUUGCAUGCCGAGUCUACCCUGCGUAGGCAACACCGACAUGGUGCUGGGAUUUCGCCGCCACCGGCGAAUACCAGCAGUCGCUCACGCGGCUCACAGAUCAAACGUCGGUGGCCUGAGGGAGGCUGCGGACGCCCGCUGCCUCCGCUCCCCAGGUUCUGAUAUGACCGGCCCUGCCGCGAAAGUGACAGGAAAUGCCGCGUUCCGUAGGUGAACCUGCGGAAGGAUCAUUA